UUUGAGUUUACUAAAAAUAUGUUGUCUCUUUAGAACAGUGACGGAGGCAGUGAAGGAACUUCAGUAUAGGAGAUGGCAUCUCAUUUCUUCACUGUUCUCACAAAGGUGACCAGCUGUGUGACAAAUCCUUGGAAUCUGGAGCUGACCCCUGAGGGGUUCAGUUUCUUUGAAAACCACAGAAGGGAAAAUGCAGUGGAGAACUUGUGAACAACUGGGUCAGGAAAAACUGCGGCUGCUUUUCAGGGCUCUGAUCUAGGAACCCCAGAUGCAAAGACAUGCUGGCGUCCUCUUGCUCAGCCAUUCACCAGGAAACAGGUGAGCCAGCUCACUUCAUCAACCUCCGUGUGCAAUGUAGCUCAACAAAUAACUGAUUGACAAUCCUUUAUAAAUAUUAACAUGGUGCAAAAGUAAUGGCAAAAACCACAAUUACUUUUGUAUUUGUGUACUAAUACUAUUGGCUGUGUUGUCACAUGCGUGCAUUUGGAUUUACUGAGGCACUGUUUCAGAGGGUAUUAUCU
rnacentral:lncRNA from 10 species